rnacentral:rRNA from 1 species
GACGAACGCUGGCGGCGUGCUUAACACAUGCAAGUCGAACGGUAAGGCCCUUCGGGGUACACGAGUGGCGAACGGGUGAGUAACACGUGGGUGAUCUGCCCUGCACUUCGGGAUAAGCCUGGGAAACUGGGUCUAAUACCGGAUAGGACUCCUGGCUUCAUGGUUGGGGGUGGAAAGCUUUUGCGGUGUGGGAUGGGCCCGCGGCCUAUCAGCUUGUCGGUGGGGUGAUGGCCUACCAAGGCGACGACGGGUAGCCGGCCUGAGAGGGUGACCGGCCACACUGGGACUGAGAUACGGCCCAGACUCCUACGGGAGGCAGCAGUGGGGAAUAUUGCACAAUGGGCGCAAGCCUGAUGCAGCGACGCCGCGUGAGGGAUGACGGCCUUCGGGUUGUAAACCUCUUUCAGCAUCGACGAAGCGAAAGUGACGGUAGGUGCAGAAGAAGGACCGGCCAACUACGUGCCAGCCGCCGCGGUAA